GCUAUAGAAAUGUUGGCUAAAAUCAGUAAAUGGAUAUCAAUGAGUAUUUAGUUGAUAUUUAUAAAUUUAGUUUAAGGAGCUUAGCAAUACUGGCAAAAAAAGUGCAUUUCUAUGAGUAUUAAUUGAUAGUUAUAAUUCUAAAUAGUGUAAAUGCUAUAGUAAUCUGGCCAAAAAUAGUAUGUGGAUUGUGAAUACACAAUCAGUUCUUAUCAUUUUAGCAUUCAUGAAAUGUGUACUUUUAACUUUUGCUGUGUGGUCUUUUGCUCCGUAUAAUCCACAAUGUCCACCUCAACUUCCACCUCCAUUCAGUCCAUCUUCCACCCAGCCAUUUGGUGCCAUUUCAGUUCAUUCCAGCCUAUUGUAAGACAGUUACCUGUCACCCACGGCCUUCCAGUUGUUCUCCGGCACUCGUCGUUCUGCUUUCAGGUGUCGGGUAUUUCCUGUCUUCCACCUCCAUCCACCAUUCUAUCCACCACACACCUAUUAACCCUUUUAUUGACUUCCAGGACAGUUUAUCAAGCCCAGCCCAGCCUGGACAUGCUGACUGCCACAAGCACAAGCGUCUGCUAAAGCUGUUCUCUGAUAUAGCCCAGGAGCUCAAGUCUUGCUCAGUACCCAAUAAUAAGCAAACCGGGCAGCGACUACGAAGACUUUACAAACCCUGAAUUGGCAGCCUGGCCACAACAUGUCCUUGCGACAAGACCUCGUCCCCUCUGACUGGAAAAUGGAUUGCGUAACACCGAUUUUUAAGAAUUAUUGGUCCAUUAGUCUGACUUCACUAGUAGGGUAGGGUACGGGCUGGUGAGCCCGUCAGAGGAUGUCGUCAGUUUACCAGGAGUUUAUCGAGGAGGUGGGAAUUUUGCCACCACCUCUGCCAGGGUGGAGUCUUGGGUGAGGCUCACUCGCUCUGCUGCUGUCUGGGGAAGCGAAUUUCAUAAUUUUUCGUGUUCUACUUUCAUUGGUUCAUUAAUUCUUCAUCAUCACUUUCUUCGUCCAUGCAGUCCUUCCAUUCAUGUUAGAUUUCUUUGUCUUGUGUGUGU